CAGCAUUUUGAGCGUUGAGUCUUGGGGUUUUUUUCUGCCAAGAAGAACUAGAGAAGGUGGCUUUCGGGGUUGCUCUUCCGAUCGAUAAUUUCUUUAUCCAUAUCAUUAUCAUGGUCAUGUAUUCAUAGAGUGAAUCUUGAAGGACAGUUUCAAGUUUCUGUUCUUCGUCCAAUUGACGAUUGAUUUAGGUUAAUUCGUUUGGGGUUUUCCAUUUUAUGGGUGGUUAUUUCAGAAAUUCUGUUCUCUGAGUGGUAAUUAUCUCUCUUGUUUCUAUAAUUCUUUAUCUUACAAUAACGUAUUUUGUUCGAUCAUUAGGAAGAAUCUUGAGGGAUUUUUUCUAUGUGAAAAGUGAUGAUCAAUUUUGUGAAUUCUUUGUUCUUUUUUAUUUGUACGGUACCGAGAGUGGUUAUUCUAGAGAUGAAACUGAUCAACCCUUUCUAUGUCACAAAAUUAUGAAAUCCCAAAUCAGGGAUUGAUCAUUAACGGUUGUGUUUGAUAGAUGUCAUUGGAGUGAAUCAAGAUUGGGAUUUUCUGUAUGUAUAUUUGUUUUGUGAAUUCUACAUGGGAUUAAUUUCUUAUUGAAUUUGUGUUUCGGUUGAAUAUUGAUGGGCUGUGAGGGUGUUUUUUUUUUUUUUUUUUUUUUUGUUUCGCUGUGAUAAUGAUCUCUUUGUUUUUGCUCUCUGUCUUCAAUUGAAGUUGAUGAUCUUUGAAAGAUCUUUCUGUGGGUUAAUUGUUAUGUAUGAUGAUCAAUUUUGGGUCUCACUGGAUUUGUUUGUGUGAGUCCUGUAUGGAUUGAACCUUAAUAUAAUUUGUCCCUUUUUGUGGAUAUCUUUGUUUUUGCUCUGUGUCUUCAUAAUUGAAGUUGAUGAAUUUUGAAGGAUCGCUCUGUGGGUCUUAUUUGUUGAGCUUUUCCAAAAUUUGAAAAAGAAAUAAACGUGUUUCUGAAAUAACACCUUAUUAAUAGAGCUCUACAGUUAGAUUGUGACGUGUUUAUUUCCUGACCAUUAGAUCUAAUUCUAGAUUCUUCUAUCUAUCUAAUUAUGAGAUCUUUAGGGAAAUAUACACUUUUAAAAAUGGCAGUUUCAGUUUCUCUCUCUUCUCUUACUAGUUCUCAGAAUUCGGUCCCUUCAUCUCUCUCCACUCUAUGCGUAGAAAAUCAUUUUCUUUUAAUGAGAUUCGGGCUUAAUUUUUGGUAUAUUUUCUAAAAUCAAAACCUGUUAUCAUCAAGAAAUAUUCUAGAUCCAUAUGGAUGUUGUACAAUUUCAGCUUUGGUUAAGUCGAAUCUGUGGGAUUCGAGUUUUGCCCGAUUUCUUGUGAGAUCUUAGUGAUCUCGGCCUCUUCCUAUGUACGGUAGUGGCUGGUUUGUUGUGUUCCUUGGUGGAAUGUCACUUGUUGGGUAAUAUGUUCUUGUUGUUGAAUAACUCGAAAGAGGGCAGUUCAUGUUCUUGGUGAGAUCUUUAUGAUCUAGUGUGAUUCUUUCGUGGAAUAGAUGUUGGUUUUGUUGAAAAUAAGAUAAGUCUACUGUGACUUAUUUCUUUGUAAUAUUUUGGAACAUUAUUGUAUACUAGCCGCCUCCUUCAUCCAUUUUAAUGGAUGCUCAACAGGGGAUUAGGCAUUAGAAGUGGUCGCUGAACCUCUAGGGCUUCGGUCGAAAAAUUCUUCGUGUUCAUUUUAUUUUCUACAAUUUAUUUUCAGUUUAUAAUUGUGGUUUUGGAAUCUUGGUUAAUAUUAGUAUCUCUCGACUUUUCAGUGGUAUCAGAGCAACCUGGACUACUGGAGCUUUGUGAUUUUUCAAUUAAACCUGAUUCCUGAAACCGAAGUACACAUUGGCCGAUGAAAAUUGAGUUUUAUCAAACUCAUUGGUGAGAUCUUUCCUGCAUUUUGUAAUUAAUCUUUACAGUAGGGUCUCCUAAUUUUUCCCUUGAUUUACACUAACUAAACCUACUGUGACUCGUCU
rnacentral:lncRNA from 1 species